GACGAACGCUGGCGGCGUGCUUAACACAUGCAAGUCGAACGGAAAGGCCCUGCUUUUGUGGGGUGCUCGAGUGGCGAACGGGUGAGUAACACGUGAGUAACCUGCCCUUGACUUUGGGAUAACUUCAGGAAACUGGGGCUAAUACCGGAUAGGAGCUCCUGCUGCAUGGGGGGGGUUGGAAAGUUUCGGCGGUUGGGGAUGGACUCGCGGCUUAUCAGCUUGUUGGUGGGGUAGGGGCCUACCAAGGCUUUGACGGGUAGCCGGCCUGGGGGGGUGACCGGCCAACUUGGGGAUGGGAUGAGGCCCAGACCCCUACGGGGGGCAGCAGGGGGGAAUAUUGCACAAUGGGCGGGAGCCGGAUGCAGCAACGCCGGGUGCGGGAUGACGGCCUUCGGGUUGUAAACCGCUUUCAGCAGGGACGAAGGGUUUUGUGACGGUACUGGAAAAAGAAGCACCGGCUAACUACGUG
rnacentral:rRNA from 1 species